AGACCCGAAACCCGGUGAUCUAGCCAUGGGCAGGUUGAAGGUUGGGUAACACUAACUGGAGGACCGAACCGACUAAUGUUGAAAAAUUAGCGGAUGACCUGUGGCUGGGGGUGAAAGGCCAAUCAAACCGGGAGAUAGCUGGUUCUCCCCGAAAGCUAUUUAGGUAGCGCCUCGUGAAUUCAUCUCCGGGGGUAGAGCACUGUUUCGGCUAGGGGGCCAUCCCGGCUUACCAACCCGAUGCAAACUGCGAAUACCGGAGAAUGUUAUCACGGGAGACACACGGCGGGUGCUAACGUCCGUCGUGAAGAGGGAAACAACCCAGACCGCCAGCUAAGGUCCCAAAGUCAUGGUUAAGUGGGAAACGAUGUGGGAAGGCCCAGACAGCCAGGAUGUUGGCUUAGAAGCAGCCAUCAUUUAAAGAAAGCGUAAUAGCUCACUGGUCGAGUCGGCCUGCGCGGAAGAUGUAACGGGGCUAAACCAUGCACCGAAGCUGCGGCAGCGACACUGUGUGUUGUUGGGUAGGGGAGCGUUCUGUAAGCCUGUGAAGGUGGCC
rnacentral:rRNA from 1 species